GGCGGCGGGGUCAGGCGGUGCGGCGCUGUUGCGGGGCGUCUCGGUCGGCUCCGGGGUAUGGCAGCGGCGGCCGGCUGGGACUCUGCCUAGAUCCGGUUCGUCUCGUCCCUGGGUGCCUCGGGUGCUACUCGAGGCUGAAGUGUUCGCGGCGCAGCUGGGGUGGCCUGCCGGCGGCGGCAUGGAUGGCUAGGGCGCAUCGGGCUUCCUGGUCCAGGGAGCGGGCGUGGCUGUCGGGCGGAGGUGCGUUCUGUGGCGGUGUAUCUGCAGUUCUGCACAUCGGCUCCCUACGGCGCGGGCUGAGAGUGCCGUGGCCUGGUGACCCCGAGGUCGUCGGGCGGCAGCUGCAGACGGCAGCUCUUCUCACGGGCGUGGAGGCGGGGCUGAGGUUAGUGGGUGGUGGCUAUGGUGUUGAACGGCGGUGACGGACUUGGCUAGGCGAGCCGAGGGGUUAUGCAGAGAAGAAGACUGACACUGUUUGGAAUUAGGUAUGGAAAAAGGAGACUAAACGUUGAGAGAACAAAAUGUAUGCAAGAGAUAGUCUGCGACUGCUCGGGGGUCCCAAAAAGAAGUAAUACACGGUCUUGCCGGUGUAGGUGCCCAGCGAUGAUAUGGUUGCUCCGGUCAAAAGACAACAGCUGGUAGCAUGGCAUUGGGGGACGAGGAUCAAUCAAGCACUUGAUAAAAGAGACACCAAACGGGGAAGUAUUAUCUAUUCUGAUCUCUUUCUCAUUAAUUUUUUAUCUUAACUCUAUAUUUACAUGGCAUAUUUUUAUUUUAUUUCAUAUAUACUCGCCGUAUUUCUGAAUGGCUGUUUCUGGAACAUGUCGUAUCCUGUGUCCCCGUAUGCGUAUCCCCGUCUUUCCGUCCCCGUGUCCAUGCUUUUUAGCUUAUUACUACCUAUAUUUGUGAAAUGUCUUAAUGUUGUUGUGCUAUAUUUACGAAAUUUUAUACAUCAGAUUGUGUGCUUAAUACUGCUACACUUGCAAAAUGUCCGAUGAGCGGUUUCGGAUAUGAUAAGUUUGAAUGGGUACAAUGCAGCUGGGACUAACCAAAUAGUUAAUCAAUAGCAGGGAUUACAAGGUUGCUAGGGAAUCAACCUCCACAAAGAUUGAUUGACAAGUACGGGAUCAACCCAAUCACUGGGUGGAUUAGUUCCACUAGGGGAUUGGCCGGUCCCCCUAUAACCAAACAAGGCCUACGGUUGUCCUCCAUCUGGUGGAACAUCGUAACAAAGAUGGACUUUGCCUUAAACGUGUAGCCAGUUUCAGAAAUGGUGUUCAUCGUGUACUUUGUUUUUCCUGUAGGGCAGCACGGGUGAUGAAAGCUAACACGCCAUCGGAGCAGCAUGCGAGUGAGGUGUACACUAGGGCCCAUGUUCGAGAAGUUUGGCCAGAUACUGUAGGAAGCAGGGCAGUACAGGGUCGAACCUGUUGAGCAAGGCAUGAAGUACCUAGUGCGGCGGCACAAUCCGGAGAGGCAUGACAAACGGUGCAAGGUGGUGUAUGAGGUCACAGUUGAUGGAGGGGGUGAUCAGUUUCUAUGCGAGUGCGGCAACUUCGAGCACACGAGAAUGUUGUGCAGUCAUUCACUAAAGGCACAUAAAAUUUGUUCAAAUGCUUCAUGCCUAUAGCGACAGUGUUUAAUGGACCAACAUGUGACAUCUCGAUUAAUGAUGCUACUCAGGCGCAAGUCAUGGAUUUUAUGGGAGUCACGGAGACACACCAGACAGAGGUGACAUGCUGAAGAAACCGAGGAGGUAGCUGAAAUGCACCCACUGUGCCGUAGGUGGUCACCGGCGAAACAUGUGCGGAAACCCAAGUAUGGUGCUUCAUGCCGUGCCUCCUGAAACCCCAAUCCGGCUGGAGGUGACAGUUGUGUAGUUAGCUUUGUUUCUAGUUUUGCGUCCAAUUUGUACAAUUUGAUUUUGUCUUGUGAGCUAGUAGGAUAGUAGGAUUUUCCUAAACCUGUGUGCAUUUAACGUAACCCUGUGUCACCCGCAAAAUAAGCUACAAGUAUUGUGAAAAAUUAUGAUUGUUAACGAGGCAUGUUCCUAUAUUUUCUCAGAUCA